rnacentral:rRNA from 1 species
AACGAACGCUGGCGGCAUGCCUAACACAUGCAAGUCGAACGAGACCUUCGGGUCUAGUGUCGCACGGGUGCGUAACGCGUGGGAACCUGCCCUUAGGUUCGGCAUAACUCCCCGACAGGGGUGCUAAUACCGGAUAAUGUCUUCGGCCCAAAGAUUUAUCGCCUUUGGAUGGGCCCGCGUUGGAUUAGCUAGUUGGUAGGGUAAAAGCCUACCAAGGCGACGAUCCAUAGCUGGUCUGAGAGGAUGAUCAGCCACACUGGGACUGAGACACAGCCUAGACUCCUACGGGAGGCAGCAGUGGGGAAUAUUGGACAAUGGGCGAAAGCAUGAUCCAGCAAUGCCGCGUGAGUGAUGAAGGCCUUAGGGUUGUAAAGCUCUUUUACCCGGGAUGAUAAUGACAGUACCGGGAGAAUAAGCUCCGGCUAACUCCGUG